rnacentral:rRNA from 1 species
GACGAACGCUGGCGGCGUGCUUAACACAUGCAAGUCGAGCGGAAAACUUCGGUUUUCAGCGGCGGACGGGUGAGUAACACGUGGGCAACCUGCCUCACAAUGAGGGAUAGCCUUCCGAAAGGAAGAUUAAUACCUCAUAACACAAGAGAAACGCAUGUUUCUCUUGCCAAAGAAUUUCGUUGUGAGAUGGGCCCGCGGCGCAUUAGGUUGUUGGUGAGGUGACGGCUCACCAAGGCUUCGAUGCGUAGCCGACCUGAGAGGGUGAUCGGCCACAUUGGAACUGAGACACGGUCCAGACUCCUACGGGAGGCAGCAGUGGGGAAUAUUGCACAAUGGAGGAAACUCUGAUGCAGCAACGCCGCGUGAGUGAUGAAGGUCUUCGGAUUGUAAAACUCUGUCUUCUGGGACGAUAAUGACGGUACCAGAGGAGGAAGCCACGACUAACUACGUGCCAGCCGCCGCCGUAA